GGGGAAUUUUGGACAAUGGGGGAAACCCUGAUCCAGCCAUGCCGCGUGUGUGAAGAAGGCCUUCGGGUUGUAAAGCACUUUCGGACGGAACGAAAUUGCGCGGGCGAAUAUCCCGCGUGGAUGACGGUACCGUAAGAAGAAGCACCGGCUAACUACGUGCCAGCAGCCGCGGUAAUACGUAGGGUGCGAGCGUUAAUCGGAAUUACUGGGCGUAAAGCGUGCGCAGGCGGCGUCGCAAGUCAGGCGUGAAAUCCCCGAGCUUAACUUGGGAAUUGCGCUUGAAACUACGGUGCUCGAGUAUGGCAGAGGGAGGUGGAAUUCCACGUGUAGCGGUGAAAUGCGUAGAUAUGUGGAGGAACACCGAUGGCGAAGGCAGCCUCCUGGGCCAAUACUGACGCUCAUGCACGAAAGCGUGGGGAGCAAAC
rnacentral:rRNA from 1 species